AAAUGCAGUAUAGCUCAAGGAGCCCUGGUCUCGGGAUAAAAAGGAGUUCAAGGCCAGUUUCUGUUACGGGUCUGAGCCAAGCCACAUCACUUCUCUCACAGAUGCUGAUUCACUGAACCCCUGUUCCACCGACCAGAAACAGCUUUGACUGGACAAGAGGCUGAAUUCAGUAACUUUCUCCUGAUGAGAAGACCACCAGCCAUGGACUGGUUCUUGCUGGUUUACAGAGACUGCACACCUGUGUACCUUCAUGUCCUGAAAAGAUCUUUUGACAUAGGGGCUAGGUAUAAUACAUUUCAUCUAUUCAUUUCAAAAUGAACAUCGGUCAUAAGUUACAUGUAUGUUUAUCUAACAUGCCUGUGUCAGGACCACUUUCUUGAAUACUCAGCUCCUCCUGUAACUUGUUGAACAUGUAUGUUUAGCCAACCUUUUCAGCAUAAAACUCCUACCCCAACCCCUCCUCCUUCCAAACGCCUGUCUCUGGUCUUGGCUAGAGGCAGGCUUCCCAGCCUGUGGGACAACCACCUUGCAGGCUGUAACCUUUUAUAAGAAUUAAAGCCUCUUCUCUUCUAAAUUUAUAAA
rnacentral:lncRNA from 10 species